GUUUAAUUGAGUUUCUCAUCAACAUCAUCUUAUCUCUGAAAGCUUUUGAGAAGUUUCUCAUCUGCUGUGCCCUCCAUGGCCGUUCCUCUCACUCUCUCCUCCCGCUAUUGUCACCGUCUCUACUUCCCUACCACUUCAUUUAAGGUAUGCGUUCAGGGUUACCCCCAAGUACGUGCCUGCGAACAUCAAAGACAGAGAUACAGCUGGAUUUGAAGAUGGAGAUGAAGUGUCACUGGAGCCAUUAUUUUAACAUUUUGUAAAACGGUAUAAUAAGAUUAUUUGUAACAUUUUGUUUCUCAAUGGAAACUUUUUUCAAACUGCAAAGAAAUUUUACAGAAUA